AAUUUAGCAAAGACAUAAGAAGAUGAAGACAAUAAAGAUGAUAAAGAUGAAAAGCCAAAGAAGGUUGAAAAGAUGAAGGCUCCUACAAUUGAAAGGGCCAGUAAUGAAAGAAAUGAAGAUGUUGAAGAUUGGGAUGAUGACAAUGAUGAAGAGUACCAACCAUUGGGUGAAAAAUGACAAGGUUUAAGAGAAAAGAAGAUUGAUAAAGUGCAUCAAGGUGAAUGUUCUUUUACAAGUGAAAGGAGAUAU
rnacentral:lncRNA from 1 species